rnacentral:rRNA from 1 species
GACGAACGCUGGCGGCGUGCUUAACACAUGCAAGUCGAACGGGCCUGUCUUCUUUUUUGGGGGUGGGUUGAGUGGCGAACGGGUGAGUAUCACGUGAGUAACCUGCCCUUCGGUCCUGGAUAACCGCUUGAAAGGGCGGCUAAUACGGGGUGGUCCGGUUGGUCCGCAUGGGCUGGUCGGGAUAGAUUCACUGUUUUUGGUGUUUCGGCGGGGGAUGGGCUCGCGGCCUAUCAGCUUGUUGGUGGGGUGAUGGCCUACCAAGGCGGUGACGGGUAGCCGGCCUGAGAGGGUGGGCGGCCACACUGGGACUGAGAUACGGCCCAGACUCCUGCGGGAGGCAGCAGUGGGGGGUAUUGCACAAUGGGCGGAAGCCUGAUGCAGCGACGUCGCGUGAGGGAUGGAGGCCUUCGGGUUGUGAACCUCUGUUUCCGGUGGUGAAGGCUCUGUCCGUGUGGUGGGGUUGACGGUAGCCGGGGAUGAAGCGCCGGCUAACUACGUG